ACAGCAGCCGCCGCGGUAAUACGUAGGGCGCAAGCGUUGUCCGGAAUUAUUGGGCGUAAAGAGCUCGUAGGCGGUCUGUCGCGUCUGGUGUGAAAUCCCGAGGCUCAACCUCGGGCUUGCAUCGGGUACGGGCAGACUAGAGUGCGGUAGGGGAGACUGGAAUUCCUGGUAUAGCGGUGGAAUGCGCAGAUAUCAGGAGGAACACCGAUGGCGAAGGCAGGUCUCUGGGCCGCAACUGACGCUGAGGAGCGAAAGCAUGGGGAGCGAACAGGAUUAGAUACCCCCGUAGUCCCUGUCUCUUAUAC
rnacentral:rRNA from 1 species